UUUUAUACCGAAGUCGAUAGAUGAUUUUCAGCGGCGAUUUGGAAAGCAGCCUUUUGAAUACUAAGGGCGAACACUGGAAACAUGAUCGGAGUGUUAUCACUCCUACAUUUUCAACAAGCAAACUACGGAAGAUGGUGCCAUUAGUUCAGGAAGCAUGUGACACACUAGUCAGAACAUGUCGUAACAGUAUGGUCAAUGGGGACGGAGGCCAAGUAGAAAUGAGAAGAUUAUUUGGAGGAUUCACCAUGGAUGUGAUAAGCUCCACGGCUUUCGGUAUUCACGUGGAUUCCCAGGGAAACCCCAAUGACCUAUUUGUAACUCACGCAAAAAAGAUAUUUGACAUCAGUCUAGCGUCGCCUGCGGUACUUAUGAUAAUAUUGUUUCCUUCAUUUAAACCGUUAUUCCGGAAAAUGGGUGCAAGUAUUUUCCCAAAAGACAGCAUGGCUUACUUUCGUAAACUCACCACGCAGCUUUUGGAGGAGAGAAGACAAAGCAAGCAGGUAACUAACGGAAGGUCGAUCAGAUUUCCUCCAGUUGAUGGUAGAUGCUCAUGAAGGUAGACGCGACGAUGUAGACAGCAACGGUUUUGACGAUCAGAAGGAAUCCAGUCCAAAAGGCAUAACAUUCGAUGGGAUCCUGGCGAAUGCAGAAGUAUUCUUCGCCGCUGGCUACGAAACAACAUCAAUUUCCCUGACAAUGACAUCGUACAAUCUCGCUCUGAAUCCGGA